rnacentral:rRNA from 1 species
ACGAACGCUGGCGGCGCGCCUCACACAUGCAAGUCGAACGAGCGAGAGAGAGCUUGCUUUCUCGAGCGAGUGGCGAACGGGUGAGUAACGCGUGAGGAACCUGCCUCAAAGAGGGGGACAACAGUUGGAAACGAUUGCUAAUACCGCAUAAGCCCACGGCUCGGCAUCGAGCAGGGGGAAAAGGAGCAAUCCGCUUUGAGAUGGCCUCGCGUCCGAUUAGCUAGUUGGUGGGGUAACGGCCCACCAAGGCGACGAUCGGUAGCCGGACUGAGAGGUUGAACGGCCACAUUGGGACUGAGACACGGCCCAGACUCCUACGGGAGGCAGCAGUGGGGAAUAUUGCACAAUGGGGGAAACCCUGAUGCAGCGACGCCGCGUGGAGGAAGAAGGUCUUCGGAUUGUAAACUCCUGUUGUUGGGGAAGAUAAUGACGGUACCCAACAAGGAAGUGACGGCUAACUACGUG